rnacentral:rRNA from 1 species
CCUACGGGAGGCUGCAGUGGGGAAUAUUGCACAAUGGGCGAAAGCCUGAUGCAGCAACGCCGCGUGAAGGAAGAAGGGUUUCGGAUCGUAAACUUCUAUUAACAGGGACGAAAGAAAUGACGGGACCGGAAUAAGAAGCCACGGCUAACUACGUGCCAGCAGCCGCGGUAAUACGUAGGGGGCAAGCGGUAUCCGGAAUUACUGGGUGUAAAGGGUGAGUAGGCGGCAUGGUAAGCCAGAUGUGAAAGCCGUGGGCUUAACCCGAGGAUUGCAUGGGGAACUAUCAAGCUAGAGUACAGGAGAGGCAAGCGGCAUUCCUAGUGUAGCGGUG